CGCCGCCGCCCGCGCACCUGCCGCUGACCGCCGCUGCCGGAGGCCGCCGUAACCGCCACGCCCGGGGCCCGUGGGCGCGCGCGGGCCGCCCACCCCUGGUCGCCGAGCCCCCCGCUGCCGCUGCCGCCGCUGCCUGCACGGCCCUCGUCCUUCAGCCUGCUGGCGCUGCCCGCGCCCCGCGACCCCUGGCCGCUGCCCGUCUUCCCCCCGCCCCUGCCGCCGCCGCCACCGCCGCCUUACUUCUUCCUGUCGCCACCCUGCUGACCGCCCGGCCCUCCCAGAGGCCGCCGACGCGGAGGGGCUGCGGGCCGAUCCUGCCUUCCAAGUCUUAAGAAGUUAAACUUUCAACUGAAAUAGAUCCAGGGGUCCUGAGGGCCUGGGUGCACCAGGAAAACAGUGGUGUUGAUGGACAAUCGAUACUGGGCCCUGGAGCAGGAGUGUCACAUGCAAGGGCUGUCAAGUCAUCCCCAGGGGACAGGAAAGCUCCCACGUUCCCUUUGUUACUCAGGUGGCUUGGGCACAGGUAACCAGCAGACGUCCUGUCUCGAUGGGCCCUUCUACAGCAGCUCAGGAAUGGUAUCAGGAAGCCAGCUUGACCUUGGGCGACCUCUGAGAGCCUGGGACCCCCCAGCAAGAAAGGCAGCGUAUGAGUUUCCUGUGACUGCUGCAGUAAAUCGCCGCAAAUUGGGGGCUUAAAACAACAAAAAUGCCUUCUUUCGCCGUUCUGGAAGGCAGAAGUCCAAAGUCAAGGUGUGGCAGGGCCAAACUCCCUCCAGAAGCUCUAGUGGAGGAUCCUUCUUGCCUCUCCCAGCUUCUGGUGGCUCCUGGUGAUCCUUGGCUUGUCGCCGCCUAACUCCAGUCUCUGCCUCUGUCUUCAUGUGACCUCCUCCCGUGUCUAUGUCUCAAAUCUCUCUGUUUUUCUCUUAUGACACCUGUCAUUGGGUGUAGGGCCCACUCUCAAUCUGGAAUGAUCUCAUCUUGAGAUCCUCAACUUAAUUACAUCUGCAAAGACCCUCUCUUCAAAUAAGGCCCCUCGCAUAUUUCCCAGGGCUUAGGAGCCACCAUCCGGUCCAUACAGGCAAGUGUCCUCUCCCCUGUGGGGCUGGGCCCCCUCUCGAGCUGGCUGCCCAGCUUCCCUUACUGUGUUUUAGGCCCUGUCCCUCACUGACCCUGAACCGUAGGUGCCCUUGGAGUCCUCAGGCAGGAGCUGAAAGCACUAGUAUCUUGAGAAAGCUCUCACAGGCACCGGAAGAAAGUUGAAUGACUGGCUUUCCCAAACUUUGCUGAAUUAUGGCCGAGUUCCCAUUCCUGCUGGCUUGGUGCUUCCUCCACUAUCUUUAGGUCGUGUGGCCCUCCUCCCCUGUCAGGUAAGCAUCAGACAGUGCACAGAAAGGGCCAGACUGUGUCGUCUUAAAGAAGACAGCCUGGAGGAGCGGGCGGUAGCCCUGCCCUCCGAGCUCCAGGUGAUGACUGCUGCUGGUUGAAAGCUGACAGUUUCGACUGAGAAUAAAGUUAACUGCUACCCCAUCAGUGGAGUCUGCCCAGGUUCACAAGUGAAACCGCCAUUAUGCUCUUCGCAAGAUACUCUUGUCCUGAGUCUACACUUACAGUGACCCCGAGGUGCCGGAGGCGCUGGCUGCUUGGGCAGAGGCCUUCCGGGGCCCUGGAGGUAGGGAGGGCGGACUUCUCCCUCAGUUUCACAGCCAGGAGGCAUGUGGGAUGAGGGCAGUUGUGACUUGCCCGAGCCCUGGGGUGGGGUUGACACCAGGUCUGACCCACAGUCCAGUAAGCUGCGGCUGCAGGUGACUAGCAGACACAGUGCUUUCUGCAUCAGGGACACAGAGGCAGUGACAGUGAGCCAGGGUGGAGGGUGGCUUCCCGUCUGAUGAGAUCCAGAUGCAGUGGGUUCUCCGAGGAGACUUCCUGGCACAGGAGCCUCGGAGUCGGGGAAGGAGGGAAUGGCUGGCUGGGGAGGAAUGGGCGGC
ensembl:lncRNA